rnacentral:lncRNA from 1 species
CUGUGCUGUUCUCGUGAUAGUGAGUAAGUAUCACGAGAUCUGACGGUUUUAUAAAGCGUAGUUUUCCCUGUACAAGCUCUCGCCUGCCGCCAUGUAAACGUUCUUUGCUCCUGCUUCGUCUUCUGCCGUGAUUGUGAGGCCUCCCCAGCCAUGUGGAACUACUCAUCACUCACUGCAGAUGUUACUUUAAGACAUUCUGGAGCAGCGUCAUGUGCAGUCAUGUGAAAGUAUAUUCCAAACCCAGAACCUGAGCACAGAUUGGGACUGAGAAACACUUGUCUAGAUUGUCAGGCAAUCUGUAACAUCAGCAGUGGAUGGAAAGAAGGAGAAAGAUGAGUUUUAUGGACGCUAACCCAUCUAUAUGGCUUUGGAAAAUAAAGUACUGCUGUUUUUUUUUGUAAA